rnacentral:sRNA from 1 species
CCCCUCCACCCUCAUUAGAGACAAGAAUGGAAUCGAUGCUUGAGCAGAUUUUGGAAAGCCACACAAAGCUUGUUGUAGAGUUUAAUGGCAAGUUUAAUGCUGUCUACACAGAUCUUAAUGGGAAGAUCGACAAUCUGAGCUCUCGCUUGAAGAAGC